rnacentral:rRNA from 1 species
UUGAACGCUGGCGGCAUGCUUUACACAUGCAAGUCGAACGGUAACAGGGAGCUUGCUCCGCUGACGAGUGGCGAACGGGUGAGUAAUGCAUCGGAACGUACCCAGUCGUGGGGGAUAACGUAGCGAAAGUUACGCUAAUACCGCAUACGUCCUGAGGGAGAAAGCGGGGGACCGUAAGGCCUCGCGCGAUUGGAGCGGCCGAUGUCGGAUUAGCUAGUUGGUGGGGUAAAGGCCUACCAAGGCGACGAUCCGUAGCGGGUCUGAGAGGAUGAUCCGCCACACUGGGACUGAGACACGGCCCAGACUCCUACGGGAGGCAGCAGUGGGGAAUUUUGGACAAUGGGGGCAACCCUGAUCCAGCCAUUCCGCGUGAGUGAAGAAGGCCUUCGGGUUGUAAAACUCUUUCGGCAGGAACGAAACGGUGAGCUCUAACAUAGCUUGCUAAUGACGGUACCUGAAGAAGAAGCACCGGCUAACUACGU